rnacentral:rRNA from 1 species
AUUGAACGCUGGCGGCAGGCCUAACACAUGCAAGUCGAGCGGAUGAAGAGAGCUUGCUCCUGGAUUCAGCGGCGGACGGGUGAGUAAUGCCUAGGAAUCUGCCUGGUAGUGGGGGAUAACGUCCGGAAACGGGCGCUAAUACCGCAUACGUCCUGAGGGAGAAAGGGGGGGAUCUUCGGACCUCACGCUAUCAGAUGAGCCUAGGUCGGAUUAGCUAGUUGGUGGGGUAAAGGCCUACCAAGGCGACGAUCCGUAACUGGUCUGAGAGGAUGAUCAGUCACACUGGAACUGAGACACGGUCCAGACUCCUACGGGAGGCAGCAGUGGGGAAUAUUGGACAAUGGGCGAAAGCCUGAUCCAGCCAUGCCGCGUGUGUGAAGAAGGUCUUCGGAUUGUAAAGCACUUUAAGUUGGGAGGAAGGGCAGUAAGUUAAUACCUUGCUGUUUUGACGUUACCAACAGAAUAAGCACCGGCUAACUUCGUG